AACAGCGAUGGUACAUUGUGCGGCCUACGGCUUGAGGAAACAGGUAAGUUGGUGAACGUAAGUCAUGAAUACAGCGUUAUUGAUUACGUUUUUCUUUUUCAGUUCAACAAAAGGAGAAUUGAAGACCCGGCUACCGCCUGGGCCACAAGAAAAAUACGCAUCAAAAACGAUUUCAAACCACGUCCGUAGCAACAUCUUCCUGUUACACCGACGGACUUGUACCCCGGCAGCAGCAUCACCAGAACACCAGAUAUAAUCCUCGGCAGGAUCAUAUCCAUAAUCCCGAUCCUUGCUUAAUCAUUCCGGGAGGGC